UCUUCAGUAUUGGUGUAUUCACCUUGCAGUAUAUGGUAAAUAGUUUGUCUACCCCAGGUACAUUUGCAUGACCACUUUUCUAUUGUUCAUAUGACAAAAUGGUUGUCAUAAAUAUGUUUUAACUUAGUGUUCUUCAUUCUUUAUCUGUGUAUUGUAGUAGAAGUUAAUUGACAAUCAUGUAAUUGUAGUACUGUUGCUCUAUUCAGGUUGCCAAUACAGACUGGUUUUUGGUCUGUGUUAAUCAAAUAAAUGCCAUUUUCUCCAGAUCAUGUUAAAUUACAAUGUAUGCAAGAUGCAUAGUACAAUGGGUACAAGCAUUGAAUCAUUGGGUUUUGGUAAUUUAGCGACACAACAAAUGGCGAAGCAGUAGCUUUAGGUGACCUGAACAUUUUCAUAUGUGCAACCUGGG